rnacentral:rRNA from 1 species
UACGGGGGGAGCAAGCGUUGUUCGGAUUUACUGGGCGUAAAGGGCGCGUAGGCGGCGCAACAAGUCACUUGUGAAAUCUCCGGGCUUAACCCGGAGCGGUCAAGUGAUACUGUCGUGCUAGAGUGCAGAAGGGGCAACUGGAAUUCUCGGUGUAGCGGUGAAAUGCGUAGAUAUCGAGAGGAACACCUGCGGCGAAGGCGGGUUGCUGGGCUGACACUGACGCUGAGGCGCGAAAGCUAGGGGAGCGAACAGG